rnacentral:sRNA from 1 species
UGAUGUUGUCGUACGCUAAUUUUAGCUGC